AAUACUACCAACACGGAACUGGUGAGCUAGCUCAAACGCUCGUCCUCAAAAUGCGCUCUCAGGGACCCUUUUUCUGAAGAAAUUACCAGUAUUAUUGGUUAUCAGUUGGAUUUUCUUCAUCGUGAACUAUGAAGGCUAGAAUGAGAACAUGUUCCUGUGUUAAGCAACCUCAUACAGAUUCAGAUUCAGUUUUAUAUUCUUAGUUUAGUUAAAAUUUUCCUUCGCUCUGAAGCAUAGGGUAAAAUGGAG
rnacentral:lncRNA from 1 species